GACGAACGCUGGCGGCGUGCCUAAUACAUGCAAGUCGAACGAAGCUGUUUUAACUGGUGCUUGCACCGACUUAAACAACUGAGUGGCGAACGGGUGAGUAACACGUGGGUAACCUGCCCCAAAGCGGGGGAUAACAUUUGGAAACAGAUGCUAAUACCGCAUAACCACAGAAACCACAUGGUUUCUGUGUCAAAGAUGGUUUCGGCUAUCACUUUGGGAUGGACCCGCGGCGUAUUAGCUAGUUGGUAAGGUAAUGGCUUACCAAGGCAAUGAUACGUAGCCGAACUGAGAGGUUGAGCGGCCACAUUGGGACUGAGACACGGCCCAAACUCCUACGGGAGGCAGCAGUAGGGAAUCUUCCACAAUGGACGAAAGUCUGAUGGAGCAACGCCGCGUGAGUGAAGAAGGUCUUCGGAUCGUAAAACUCUGUUGUCAGAGAAGAACGUGUGCGAGAGUGGAAAGCUCAUCAAGUGACGGUAACUACCCAGAAAGGGACGGCUAACUACGUGCCAGCAGCCGCCGUAA
rnacentral:rRNA from 1 species